UCGGGAAUUUUGGGCAAUGGGGGAAACCCUGACCCAGCAACGCCGCGUGAAGGAUGAAGUAUUUCGGUAUGUAAACUUCGAAAGAAUAGGAAGAAUAAAUGACGGUACUAUUUAUAAGGUCCGGCUAACUACGUGCCAGCAGCCGCGGUAAUACGUAGGGACCAAGCGUUGUUCGGAUUUACUGGGCGUAAAGGGCGCAUAGGCGGCAUGACAAGUCACUUGUGAAAUCUCUGGGCUUAACCCAGAACGGCCAAGUGAUACUGUCAUGCUAGAGUGCAGAAGGGGCAAUCGGAAUUCUUGGUGUAGCGGUGAAAUGCGUAGAUAUCAAGAGGAACACCUGAGGUGAAGACGGGUUGCUGGGCUGACACUGACGCUGAGGCGCGAAAGCCAGGGGAGCAAACGGGAUUAGAUACCCCCGUAGUCCCUGAGCGGGCUGGCAAGGCGCAU
rnacentral:rRNA from 1 species